AUUGCCCCACCCUUUGCCACACUCCUUCAGAGAUGCGCAGUGCUGCCCCUUUCUAUGGGCAGGGCCGAAGGUCCGCGUGUAAAAGUACCCAGUCCCUGGUAACCUGACACUUCCCUUUUAAAAGCCACCUUUUGUCUAUCUCUGGCCUGCCACGAUUCUUCCUGUGCUCCAUAGGAGGACCCAUUGGACCCCCGGGCUGGCUGCAGGGCCCACACCUGGGUUAGACCUCGCACAGGGACGCUGCUGCCACUGUAAUAAAGCGUGCCUACACGCUUCUGAAACUGGUGUAGGAACAACCUCAGUUCUGUGAAAGGCGGACGCAGCAGGACAGAAUCUCCGUGGACAUCUGUCUGGAGGAGCAAUUUUACUGCGACAUUUUAAAGAAACAAAUUUAAUUGAUUUCCAAGGGUGUCCAUCGCGCUUCCUUCACUGCCUUGAUCAUGUCGGGGUCACCACCUGCGGGGGUUUGUCCUGCAGACCCUGACUCAACGACGGAUGAAUAAUGUACACUGACACAGAUCUUAUGCUUGUCAGUCCUGCUGAGCAUCCAGGCCACUUACAGACUCCAAGAAGAGUCCUGUCAGCCACGGCUCUGACUUGUUGGCCCUCCCGGCAUUUAUUUAGCACACAUUUAAUGACAGAAGUCUCAGGCUGGAAACACUCUUUUUGUAGAACAUACAAAUGGACAUUUCUAAGCACAUUGAGGCCUAUAAUGAAAAAUCAAAUAUCCCACAAUGAAAACUAGAAGGAAGCUAUCUGUGAUAAUGCUUUGUGGUGUAUGGAUUCAUCUCACUGACUGAAACCUGAGUUUUGAUUCACCAGGUUGGAAACACUCUUUUUGUAGAAUGUAUGAAGAGAUAUUUCUGAGGCCUGUUGUGAAAAACUGAGGUUUCCACAAGAAAAACUGGAAACAAGUUAUCUGAGAAAAUGCUUUAUGAUGGGUGAAUUCAUCUCACAAAAUUAAACCUUCGUUUUGAUUCAAAAGGUUGCAAACACUCUUUUUGCAGAAUCUAUGAAGGAACAUUUCUGAACCAAUUUUGGCCUAUAGUGGAAAACUGAACAUUCUGUGAUAUAAACUAGAGAAAAGAUAUCUGUGAAAAUGCUUUGCAAUGUGUGGAUUCAUCUCACUGGAUGGAACCUAUGCUUUGAUUUAGUAGGUUGGAAAUACUCAUUUUGUAGAAUCUACAAAGGAUAUUUCUGAGCCCCUUUGAGCCUGUAGUGAAAAAUCAAGGAUCCCAUGAAGAAAAACAGAAAAACACUAUCUGUCAAAAUGCUUAUUGGUGUGUGGAUUCUUCUUACCAAAUGGAACCUGUGUUUUGAUUCACCAGGUUGGAAACACUUUUUUGUAGAGUCUAUGAAGGGACAUUUCUCAGCCCAUUGAGGCCUAUAGUGAUGAACAAAAUAUCCCAUAAUAGAAGCUAGAAAAAAGCUAUUUCCAAAAAUGCUUUGCAAUGUGUGGAUUUAUCUUACAGAAUUAAACCUUUAUUUUGAUUUGACAGUCUGCAAACACUUUUUUUUGUAGAAAGUACAGAGGGACAUUUCUGAGACCAUCAAGAACUAUAGUAAAAAAAUCAAACAACCUGCCUUAAUAUUUAGAAACAAGCUAUCUGUUAAAAUGCUUUAGAAUAUUUUCAUUCAUGUCACAGAUUUCAACCUUUUUUUUGAUUCAACAAGAUAAAAACACUCUUUUAGUUGAAUCUACAAAAAGAUAUUUCAAAGUCCGUUGAGGCCUAUAGUGAAAAACUGAAUAUCCCAUGAUAAAAACUAGAAGUGAGCCCUGUGUGAAAAUGCUUUGUGAUGUGUGGAUUCAUCUCACAGAGUUAAACUUAUAUUUUUAUUCAACACCUUGGAAACACUCUUUUUGUAGCAUCUAUGAAGGGACAUUCUGAGGCCAUUGAGGCCUAUAGUGAAAAGCAGAAUAUCCUUCCUUAAAAUCUAGAAACAAUCUAUCUGUGAAGAUGAUUUAUGAUGUGAGCAUUUAUCUCACAGAUUUAAAACUAUGUUUUAAUUCAACAGGUAGGAAAAAGUCUUUUUGUAGAAUCUAUGAAAGGACACUUCUGAGCCCACGGAGACCUAUAGUGAAAAACUGAAUAUCCAGCAUUAAAAACUAGAAACAAGCUAUAUGUAAAAAUGUUUUGUGAUGUGUGGAUUCAUCUCUCCCAAUGGAACCUGUGUUUUGAUUCUCCAGGUUGGAAACACUUUUUGUGAAAUCUAUGAAGCGACAUUUCUGAGCCCAUUGAGGCAUAUUGUAAAAUUUGAAUAUUCCACGAUAAGAACUAGAAACAAGCUAUCUCUGAAAAUCCUUUUCAAUGUGUGGCUUCUCCUCACAGAGUUAAAUCUUUGUUUCAAUUCAACACCUUGAAAACACUUUUUUGGUAGAAUCUACGAAGGGACAUUUCUGACCCAUUGAGGCCUACAGUAAAAAAUGUAGGGACAUUUCUGAGCCCAUUGAAGCCUAUAGUUAAAAAACUAAUUUCUGGUGAUAAAAUCUAGAAACAAGCCAUCUGUGAAAAUGCUUUGUGAUGUAUGGAUUUAUCUCAAAAAGUUAAAACUAUGUUUUUAACCAACAGGUUGAAAUCACUCUUUUUGUAGAAUCUAUGAAAAGACGUUUCUGAGCCCACUGAGGCCUGUAGAGAAAAACUGUAUAUCCUGCAAUAAAAGCUAGAAGAAAAGCUCUCCGUGUAAAUGGUUCCCGAUGUGUGGGUUAAUCUCACAGAGUUAAACAUUUGUUUUUAUUUAACAGGUUAGAAACGUUCUUUUUGUAGAAUCUACGAAGGAAUAUUUCUGAGCCCAUUGAGGCCUAUAGCAAGAAGCCAUAUAUCCGUCAAUAAAAACUGGAAACAAGCUAUCUGUGAACAUUUUUUGUGAUGUAUGCAUUUAUCUCACCAAAUGGAACCUGUGUUUUGAUUCACCAGUUUGGAAACACUCUUUUGUGGAAUGCAUGAAGGGACAUUUCUUAGCCAAUUGAGGUGUAUAGUGAUAUACCAAAUAUCCCGGGAUAGAAACUAGAAACAAGUUAUCUGCAAAAAUGCUCUGUGAUGUGUGGAUUUAUCUCACAGAGAUGAAGCUUUGUUUUGAUUCAACAUGUUGGAAACACUUUUUUUGUAGAAUCUACAAAGGGACAUUUCUGAGACCAUUAAAAACUACAGUAAAAAAAGGUAUAAUGCACCUUAAAAUCUAGAAACAAAGCUAUCUGUGAAAAUGCUUUGCAAUAUGUGGAUUCAUGUCACAGAUUUAAACCUUUGUUUUGAUUGAACAAAUUGGAAACACUGUUUUAGUAGAUUAUAUAAAGGGACAUUUCAAAGCCCAUUGAAGCCUAUAGUGAAAAAUCAAAAAUCCCGUGAGCAAAAAUAGAAACAACCUCUGUGGGAAAAUGCUGUGUGAUACGUUCAUUCAUCUCACAGGGAUAACCUUUGUUUUUAUUCAACACCUUGGAAACAUUCUUUUUGUAGAGUCUAUGAAAAAAAUUUCUGAGCCAAUUGAAGUCUGUAGUGAAAAAGCUAAUAUCCCAUUUUAAAAUAUAAAACAAACUAUGAAAAUGAGUUUUGAUGUGUGGAUUCAUCGAGAGUUAGACCUUUGUUCUAAAUCAACAGGUUAAGAACACUCUUUUUGUAGAAUCUAUGAAAAAACAUUUCUGAGCCCGUUGAGGCCUAUUGCGAAGUGAAUCUCUUGCAAUAAAAAGCAGAAACCAGCUCUCUGUGAAAUAAUUUUGUGAUGUACAAAUUUAUCUUGCAGAGUUAAAACUUUGUUUUAAUUCAACAAGUUGAAACCUUCUUUUUGUAGAAUCUGCAAAGAGACAUUUCUGAGCCCAUUGAGGCCAAUAGCAAAAAAAUGAAUAUCCCACAAUAAAAACUAGAAACAAAACAGCUGUGUAAAUGCUUUGCAAUAUGUGGAUUCGUCUCACUGAGUUAAACCUAUGUUUUGAUUCAACAAGUUAAAAAACUUGUUUUUGUAGUAUCUUCGAAGGGACAAUUCUGAGCCUAUGGAGAUUAUAGCAAAAAACUGAAUAUCCUGCAAUAAAAACUAGAAACAAGAUAUCCGUGGAAAUGCUUUGAGAUGUGUAGAUUUAUUUCACAGAAUUAAACCUUUGUUUUGAUUUAACAGGUUGGAACCACUCUAUUUUAAGAAUCUAUGAAGAAAUAUCUUUGUCCCUAUUGUACACUAUAGUGGACAACUGAAUACUUCAUGACAAAAACUAGAAACAAGCUAGCUGUGAAAAUGCUUUGCAAUGGGUGAAUUCAUCUCACUCAGUUAAACCUUCGUUUUGAUUCAACAAGGGUGAAACACUCUUUUGGUAGAAUCUACAAAGAAACAUUUAUGAGCCCCUUGAGGACUAUAGUGAAAAAAUGAAUCUCCUGCAUUAAUAUCUAGAAACAAUCUAUUUGUGAAAAUGCUGUGUGAUGCAUGGAUCCAUCUCACAGAUUUCAAACUUUAUUUUGAUUCAACAGGCUGGAAACACUCUUGUUAUAGAAGCUACGAAGGGUCAUUUCUGAACCCAUUGAGGCCAAUAGUGAAAAACUAAAUAUCCUGCAAUAAACCUAGAAAAAAUCUAUCUGCGAAAAUACUUUGUGUAGUGUGGAUGAGUGUCUCAGGGUUAAACAUUUGUUUUUAUUCACCAGGUUCGAAACACUCUUUUUGUUGAACAGACAAAGGGACAUUUCUUAGCCCAGUUAGGCCUAUAAAGGUAAACCGAAUAUCCCGUGAUACAUAGUAGAAACAAGCUAUCUGCAAAAAUGCUUUGUGAAUUGUAGAUUCAUCUCACAGAAUUAAGCCUUUGUUUUAAUUCAACAGGUUAAAAACACUAUUUUUGUAGACUCUACGAAGAAACAUUUCUGAAACCAUUGAAACCUAUGGGGGAAAAAAACCCCCGAAAUUCCUGUGAUAAGAAAUGGAAAGCAGCUAUCUGUGAAAAUGCUUUGUAAUGUGUGGAUUCUUCUCACAGAGUUAAACCUUUGUUCUGAUUCAACAUUGUUCAGAACACUCUUUUUGUAGAAUCUACAGAGAUACUUUUUAGCAUUUUGAGGCCUCUAGUGAAAAACCGAAUGUCCUGCAAUAGAAACUGGAAACAACCUUCUGUGAAAAUGCUUUGUGAUUCGUCUAUUCAUCUCAAAGAAUGAAACUUGUGCUUUGAUUCAACAGGUUGGAAAACCCUUUUUGUAGAAUCUACGUAGGAACAUUUCUGAGCCCAUUGAGGCCUCUAGUGAAAAAACUGAAUAUCCCAGAAUUAAAACUAUAAACAAGCUAUCUGUGAAGAAGCUUUGUAAUAUGUGCAUUCAUCUAACAGAUAUAAGCGUGUAUUUUGAUUUGCCUGGUUGGGAACACUCUUUUUGUACAGUCUAUAAAGAAACAUUUCUGAGUGCAUUGAGUCAUAUGUUGAAAAAUCGAAUAUCUCGUGAUAAAAACUAGGCAGGAGGUAUCUGUGAAAAUGCUUUGAGAUGUGUGGGUAUUGGCCUCACAGAGUUAAACUUUUGUUUUGAUUCAACAGUUUGGAAACAUACUUUGUAGAAUCUACAAUGACAUAUUUCUGAGCCCAUUGAGGCCUGUAGUGAAAAACCGAAUAUCCCAUGAUAAAAACUCAAAACAAGCGAUAUGUGAAAAUGCUUUGUGACGUGUGGUUCAUCUCAUAGAGUUAAACCUGGUUUUGAUCCACUACAUUGGAAACACUCUUAUUGUAGAAUCUACAAAAAAAAAUUUCUGAGACCAUUGAGGUCUCUAGUGAAAAACUGAAUAUCCCAUGAUAAAAACUAGAUACAAGCUAUCUGUGAAAAUGCUUUGCAAUGUGUGGAUUUGUCUCACAAAGUUAAACCUGUGUUUGAUUCAACGGGUUGGAAACACUUUUUUUGUAGAAUCUAUGAAGAAACAUUUCUGAGACCAUUGAAGCCUAUAGUAAAAAAUUGAAUAUCCUGUGAUAUAAAUGAGAAACAAGUUAUCUACGAAAAUGUAUAUUAAUCUCACUGAAUGCAACCUGUGUUUUACUUCACCAGGUUAAAGAUGCUCUGUUGGUAAAAUCUGUGAAGGGACAUUUCUGAGCACAUUGAGGCCUAUAGUGAAAAAACGAAUAUCCUGCUAUAAAAACUAGAAACAAGCUAUGUGUGAAAAUGCUUUGCAAUGUGUGGAUUCACCUCACAGAUUUAAACCUUUGUUUUGUUUCAACAGGUUGGAAACACUCUUUUUGUAGUUGAACGAAGGGACAUUUUUGAGUCCCUUGAGGCCUAUAGUAAUGAAC
ensembl:lncRNA LINC00662 long intergenic non-protein coding RNA 662